GGGCGUGGCGAAGGUGGUUAUCGCGCCGGCCUGUCAAGCCGGAGGCCGCGGGUUCAAGUCCCGUCGCUCC
rnacentral:tRNA from 1 species